AUUGAACGCUGGCGGCAUGCCUUACACAUGCAAGUCGAACGGUAACAGGUUAAGCUGACGAGUGGCGAACGGGUGAGUAAUGUAUCGGAACGUGCACAGUCGUGGGGGAUAACUGCUCGCAAGAGCAGCUAAUACCGCAUACGACCUGAGUGUGAAAGCGGGGGAUCGCAAGACCUCGCGCGAUUGGCUCGGCCGAUAUCAGAUUAGGUAGUUGGUGAGGUAAAGGCUCACCAAGCCGACGAUCUGUAGCUGGUCUGAGAGGACGACCAGCCACACUGGGACUGAGACACGGCCCAGACUCCUACGGGAGGCAGCAGUGGGGAAUUUUGGACAAUGGGCGCAAGCCUGAUCCAGCCAUGCCGCGUGCGGGAAGAAGGCCUUCGGGUUGUAAAGCGCUUUUGGCAGGGAAGAAAAGGUUCUGGCUAAUACCUGGGACUCAUGACGGUACCUGAAGAAUAAGCACCGGCUAACUACGUG
rnacentral:rRNA from 1 species